GCGGGUGUAGUUUAGUGGUAAAACUACAGUCUUCCAAGCUGUUGUCGCGAGUUCGAUUCUCGUCACCCGCU
rnacentral:tRNA from 6 species